rnacentral:rRNA from 1 species
AAUCAACGCUGGCGGCGUGCCUAACACAUGCAAGUCGAACGCGAAAGCCCCUUCGGGGGUAAGUAGAGUGGCGUCCGGGUGAGUAACACGUAGGUAAUCUACCUUCGGGUGGGGAAGUAACCAGUCGAAAGAAUUGGCUAAUACCGCAUAAUGCAGCGGCACCUAAUGGUGAUUAGUUGUUAAAGCGGGGGAGUCGUAAGACCUCGCGCCUGAAGAGGAGCCUGCGGCAGAUUAGCUAGUUGGGAGGU